UCCCUGGAGGACUAGUGGUUAGGCUCUCACAGUGCUCUCACCGCUGUGGUCCGGGUUUGAUUCCCAGCCAGGGAA